CUACGGAGGGUGCAAGCGUUACUCGGAAUCACUGGGCGUAAAGCGCGCGCAGACGGGCUGAUAAGUUGGAUGUGAAAGCCUACGGCUCAACCGUAGAACUGCAUCCAAAACUGUCAGUCUAGAGUCUGGGAGGGGAAGAUGGAAUUAGUUGUGUAGGGGUAAAAUCCGUAGAGAUAACUAGGAAUACCAAAAGCGAAGGCGAUCUUCUGGAACAGUACUGACGCUGAGGCGCGAAAGCGUGGGGAGCAAACAGGAUUAGAAACCCUAGUAGUCC
rnacentral:rRNA from 1 species